GUUCCUGUUGUGUGCGUGCUAGUGAGCUACAUGACGGGCACGGAGACACAGGCACGGAUGCCACCCACACCACGUCUCCAGGCAAUCUGUUUCCAUUAGGUCACAAGCAUGAAGGUGAAAGAAAAGACGAUUAUUCUACGUGAACAGGUGAAAGAACCAUCUCCGACCCCAAGACUCGACUCCAGUUGUCUUAUGAAUCUGUACUGCUGUCAGUUUUCUUGUUCCCAGCUCCUUCAAGGGCACAUGGAAUGCAGCUGCCGAUGGAAUCGGUGAGAUGCCACCUGUGCCCAUCCCAGCUGCACUUGCUUCCUGGGGUCUGCAUCGCCGCAGCCUGACCUUGAGGGGUGGUGGGGCACCUGCUGUUUCCCAGAUACACCUGUCAUGUUUUCAUCUAACAACCAGGAGAACAAAAUACGACUCAAUGGAGAAAUGUAUUCUUAGUUAUCUGAUGAAGUUUUCUCCUUAAAUAUUUUGUUAUCCAUUUUUGGCAUUGGUAUGAAUUUGGGACCGUUGCCACCAGCUCUGAGGGAUUUCAAAUGUGCUUUUGGAGUUUGUGAGAACCAAGCCUCAGGGGAUGUGUGAGUCAGUUGAAGCACUGCGGUCUUGCUGGUCUCUCUCUGACAUUUCAUGUCUCUGGCAUAUCUGAAUUUAGGUUGGGAACUGGAGCUUUGGUACACUUAUAUCUAUUACUACCCUUUGUAAUCUGGCCAGUUCCAUACUCAUGGAGACAAUUCCCAGAUGGCUACAGCAUUUCAUUUAGAGUUGGGCUGUGGAAUUUGUUGAAGAAGGAAUGCAAAAGAGACACUUGUUUUAUUUAAGGUUUGAAUUUCUUCCAGUAAACGACUUGCUUAUUAGGCUAAAGAUUUUUGGGGGGAGUAGCUUACUUAUCUGGUAUUUAACAGUCAAAUCCUUGAAAUUUCUGCCUGUUGCUUCAUGUUUUCCCAUGGAUUUGGAAGAAGAGUUGUCCGGAGACUUCCAGGUUAGCUCCACGGACCUACAUUUUCACUCCAUUUAACAUUAUUGACUGGAUCGGGCCCAGAGAGCUGUGGAAGAGCUUAAUUCCUGAUCAGAAGACAGAAGCGGUUUAAUUAGAAUAAAGCAGCGACUACUAUGUAAUUAAAAAUUAGAUGAACCAUUGAAUGCUAAGCAGACUUUUAGAAGGUGAACUUAGGAUUUAAAACCUACCACUGCCUCUCGGUAUGGCAUGGUGGAGAUCUGCCCUACAGAGACCCCAGCACACUGGCAGCCCAGCUGUCUGAGGACUGUUUUGUAAUGGGGUAGUCACGCUGGCUUAAGGGGAGGAAUAAUAGAUUGGGAGUAGU